rnacentral:sRNA from 1 species
UUUUUUUUAGGGGGGUGAGGCGUAGGGGGUGCUGAUGGUGUGAGAGGUCCGGUCUGACUUGAAGACACCCUGCCCUAGGUACCAGCUGGAGAUGUUCUGUCACUUCCAGGACGUUGAAGGUAGAGGGAGUCACUUGAGGGUUUCUGCUGUCCUUGCCACCGGAUGAUUUUGCUACUUUGCUUACAGGUGUUGGCGCUUUACUUCUUGCAACUGUCUGCUUGUUUCCUUCCUGAGAUUUCCAAAGCCCGUAGUUUUAUCUUCAUAAAUAAGGAGUCGCUGAAGCUGGUGUGGCCAGACUGGGCUCUACCGGUUCCAGAAUCCAAGUCCUUAGUUUUAUAUCUAAACAAAUACCUAAAACCCCCUUCCCAGGCUUCGGUUAGCACUUCCUUUUAGAUUCACAAAUGAGCGAUACACAGAAGCAGACACAACGCUACUGUCCUCGCUCCCUAGACUUCACUCGUUUAUCUCCUGGAUAUCCUUGGGGUCUGGCAGCUUCCCUCGGGCUUCAGUAUCCCAGUACAGAACUUGCCUGACUGUAGCUCAAAAGAGCCCGACAUCUGUCCAAUUAUCUACUCUCAUUUUCCUCCAAGGCAUUUUUUUUUUUUACACAAGAAACCCUAAAUAUAGAGAACUCUUAAAAUCUGGACUAGAGUGGGGAGACAGAACAAAGACCUUAAAAACUAUUAAAAACAAAAAAGCCCGCUCAUCUCAGACUCCCCACCCUCAAGCCUGGCAUGACUGAGGUUCAGGUUGCCUAAUCACAUAAGAACGUGGGGCUUUCUCCUAAUGGAGUUGAUAUCAGUUGUGUGAAGGAUGAAAACACUGAGGUGUAAGUGUUGAAUUUGAGCACUUUAGCUAGUGUGUUCUAUCAUGUUUUCCUUAACAUUAAUGGUUGGUAUAGAAAACACAGGGUUCCCUUACCUUUUCAUGCACAGAAUCAUUCCACAUGACCCAACCUCCUUCAGAUAUAAUCCCUGUUCUGCUUCCUUGCCGCUUAUGUCGCCUUAGUAUUUGAAGCCAGGCUGAAUUUUGUCAGGGAUACAGAAGGUCUGUCCAUUCCCAGUUUGGGGCAUUGCUUAUUGGUGGAGACUGCUGCCUUGUAUCUGUUUCAGGUGUGGGAAUGGGGAGAAGGAAAAUAGAGGUAGUAAUUAGGAGGAGGAGUAGAGGUUGAACAGCAAAAGGCAGAGCAGAGAGACAGGACGUGCCAUGUGGACUUGGCUUCCACUUAAAGCCGCCUUCAUUCUCUGAAGAGAAGAAGGGUAACAUGCAACUAAGCUAACCAUACUCCAUGUAACAGGUCAAAACUUAGCUCUGGUGGACAGCGACACCUGGGACUCAUUUGCUGUUUUCAAAAUUCUUUUCUGAAAGACCUGAAUCCAGCAUACUCACCGUUUGUAUUUGGAGGAACACGUGGCUGGAACGGAUUCUGGAAUCAUCCUUUGAUACCUAAAAUGGGUGUGCAAGUUGACAGUGGACAAGAAGGCGUCUGGGAUUGAUGGAUCAGAUGAUGGGUCUGUGAAGACAAUGAAGCCAGGAAUUCCCAGUGAGCCCAGCCAGCCAUGCCUGAUCCAUCAAGGGAGGUAGGCCAAGGGAGCUUCAUGAACUGGCCCCCGCCAUGGAUCCCCAGAUCAUGCCAGGGAAACACUGGUCUGCCAGGUGGAGAAGAAGGGACGAUCUGCUUUGUCCUCCUGAUUCAUGGCGGUCAAAAUAAGCUGAGCUUCUCUCAGUUUCUUCCUAGCUGGGCCCUCACUGAGGACAAGACUCGAGUCAUCCAUGUUCUACGUGAUGUCUAAACCAUUCCGACCUUUGCUCUCCACCUCUAACCCCGCUGCUUCCCUCCUCAACGUCUGACUCUGAUUCCAUCUUCACCCUGGGUUACCAUGACUACCCCAAACAUGAGCUCCACAAUCUCUCGGGGUCCUCAGCUGCCCACCUUCAGUCUUGGGACCUGUGUGACUUCUCCCUGUGUGAAGAGGAGCUCCUCUGCCCUCCCGGUGUGGUACUGCACUGCUGUCACACUUUCUUACCCCUCAUCCCUUCCCUCCCCUCCGCCACUGGCUCAACUGCACGGCUGAGUGGGGAUGAACCUCGAGGACGUUAGGGCAAGGAAGCCAUGGCGGUGUAAAGUUACACACCCAACCACUGCAUUUCAAGGUGUGAUCCACGCAGUGCUGAGGCACAACAUGCAAACCAAUAAAGAUCUUUCUACACAAUUGAAAGAGAAGAAGGAAUCACAGGAGAACGCCGUGUGCACAGGUCGGCCCUUCCCGAGAUCUGAGUUUGGUGACUGGGAUCUCUCCGGAUCUAGAAAUAAGCCACCUGGUUGUGGCCUACCAGACUGUUGUGUGAGUCUCAGGUCCUGUAACAAGAAGAGAAUACGCACACGGGAGCGCUUGGAUGUGCACAAAGGCAAGUGCUGCUCCAUAGAGAGAAAUGCAGUCAUUAGAAUGAACGCCCUUGGCUUGUUUAAUGUUUAAUAUGUACAGCUUUUAGGUAUGAUCUCUAUAGCCUGUUCACAUAUGAUCUUGACUCUCAAUCACCAUCCAGAUUCAAAAGGAACUGGAAGUUUGAAAAAUAGCUUUUAAUAACAAAGUUUACAAAAAGCUCUCAAGGUUGGAACACAUCACUAACAUGUGCUCAGAGACCAAAGAGAUCGAAUGGCUUGACUCUGCUGAGAGAGAGACUUGGCCAGUGUGCUUCUAAGAGGCAGAGAGGAGGAGGCCCACCCUCGGGGAGGACAUAUUUGCUUACAUGAAUCCAGCCUAUAGUGAGCAGCCCCAGUUCCUCCUGAAUCAUAAACAGCUCUCCUCAUUCUUCGUGUGACAAUAAUCAGGGCCUCUGUCUUGCUCUGGGAUAAUCACAUGUCUUAUGAGGUACACUUCUCUCACCUGCCAUGAGAAAACUUGUCACAAUUUCCUGGGGGCCAUAAUGACCCACAGUGGGCAGAAAUUUUCUUCUCCAAGUCGGGCCAGGGCUGACUGGGAGCUGUGACUGUGGACUUUGCUCUCAGCUUGAGUGGAUGGAGUGAUAUUUCUGGAUUUGACUGUGAAGUGAUUCUGAAGAAACUUAUGUGUGGUUCACAGACUCGGUAGGCAAGGCCCACCCUUCACUCAGGCAGCAAUGUGAAGCCAUCUGAGAGCCGCACUGGGAGAAGCAGUGUGGAGCAGACACUUCCUCUGCGUCUCCUGGGAUAGACAUGCUUGCUUUAGCUUUCUUCAUCAGAUAUCCAAGUCUGUUCACUCUGAGGAGUGAGCGUGUGGUUCUCUAGUCUCUUCAGAUUCUCAGACUGAGACUCACAAAAGUGGCUUCCCUGGUCUGUGCCUUUCAGACAUGGGCUGCGCCAAGCUACAGUAUUCCAGAGUGUCCGCCUGAAGAAAGCCUGCUGUGGGGAUGCUCAGGCAUAUUGCCACAGAAUGUCCCCAGUAGAGCGAUGCUGUAGGGACGGGGCAGCCCCUCGAGGCCCUGGAACUGCAGGGCGAUCAUGCGCUCAUGCAGCCUGGCAAAGCUGCAGCCCGAGACUCCAACUGUGAAAGCGAAUGUGCACUGAGCCCAGCACAGCCACAGCGGCAGGUCCUCAGCUUAGCUGGAGUCAGUCACCCCUCUCCCGAUUAUUUCUCCCAGAUGAACAGGAACUGAACAGCUGGCUCCUGCUCCUUCAUCACAUUUUGCCAGUGUGUGCUCUUCUGACUGCACAGGCUCACGGCUGCAGAAGGCUAACUCAUCAUCAGGAAGCCUGGUGGUUACAGCCAGGCAAGGCUGAUCAUCUCACCUGUGUCUAAUUGAGACAGCACUACAGUUAGAAGACUGUCCUCAUCCAAGAUGAAGUUUUUGACUCAUUCAAGUCAAAGGCCAUUUUUAUAAAUUAGGGUGGCAGGACACAAAAGGACAGCACUCAUCACACGAGGUUCUGCACCACAGCAGAAUAAGCAGGACCAUGGAAGCAGAGGAGACUGAGGACGUGGACGGGGGACGCAGCCUUCUCUGUGGUGCUCAGUGCCCCAGACUUCAGACACAUGUCCACCAGCACUGCCUGGCCUUACCAGUGAGCCCCAGUCUCACGCUGUGUGGCUGACCCAGACGCAUUGGGGACCACUUCUGCACAAGGCUUUUCCAAGGCAGGAACCUGUGGUAACUUACCUGGCCUUGUUUUCAUCACACUCCCCCAGGCUGAGUGGCUGAUGUGGGACUAAGUCGUCGUCAGAGGCUUCCUCUGGGCCACACCCCAGUGGUGGCUUGAAAGGUGCGGUUCCUGCUGAAGAGGCUUCAGCCUUUGUAGAUGACCAUGCUGCACCAGGGCGCACGCCCGCGCGCGCACACACACACACACAUACACACUUUCUUCCUCACUACCCACUAGCCCAGCUGUGUGAGAGCCCCCUUUGGCAAAUCCUUCUAAGGUUUUUGUAGAACAGUUUUGAUAUCUUCCCAGAAAGCAGCAUUCUAUGCCACUUCCUAUCUAAUACAGAAAGAGAAAAGUAUUUAGGCUAACACUUCAAAUCUCGGAAGAAAAAGCAUAGUCAGCACAGAGAUGACCAAAACAUAGUCCAGGCCCGACAUCACAGCAUAGAAUCUGUGCUCCCCUCUGUAACCAUAAGCAUAAUGGCGCCGUGGUACACAGAUGCUACCCAUGUACUCAGUGGCUAUAUGGCUGUCUUCUGUAACAGCUAAGUCUCAAUUUUCUCAGGAAUCUACUUCGCUCUGUGUGUGCACACUUGUGCCUGUGUGUGUGUGAUCACGUGCACGUACAUAUGUGCAAGCGAGAGCGGAGGUUAGACAUAGAUUUUUUUGGUAUGUACUUCCAAUGUGGUCUACCUUAUUUUCUCUGGGAAAGGGUCUUUAAUUAAUCUGAAACUCUCACAGUCGGCCUGGCUGGCUGGCCAGUGAGCCCCAGGAGUUGACCCAACCUGUAAUUGCCUCCUUAGUAUUGUGGCUAUCAGCACUUAUAACUCUGCACGUGUUUUUAUUAUCAUUAUCCUCGUUAAUUCUUGAACUCUUGGGUCCUCAUGCUUGCCUGACUAGCCCUUUAUGGACUGAAUGUCUCCAGCCUUCAUUUAAAGCUUCACUCUAA